UACGGAGGGUGCAAGCGUUAUCCGGAUUCACUGGGUUUAAAGGGUGCGUAGGUGGGUCUGUAAGUCCGUGGUGAAAUCUCCAAGCUUAACUUGGAAACUGCCAUGGAUACUAUAGGUCUUGAAUAACCGUGGAGGUGAGCGGAAUAUGUCAUGUAGCGGUGAAAUGCUUAGAUAUGACAUAGAACACCAAUUGCGAAGGCAGCUCGCUACACAAAUAUUGACUCUGAGGCACGAAAGCGUGGGGGAUCAAACAGG
rnacentral:rRNA from 1 species